GAACUGAGUAUAAUACCGGAUGGAAAAUGUCACCUGGAAUUGAGACAUUAUCUAAAGUUUUAACGUAUAAGGAUGAGUUGGCGGCUGAUUAGGUUGUUGGUGGGGUAACGGCCCACCAAGCCGACGAUCAGUAGGGGCCAUGAGAGUGGGAGCCCCGAGAAGGUCACUGAGAAACUGGACCUAGCCCCACGGGGUGCAGCAGGUUCGAAGUCUUUCCAAUGCACGACAGUGUGAGAAGGGAAUCCUACGUGCUUAUGCUUAGCAUAGGCUUUUGCUGAGUGUAAAUAGCUCGGCGAAUAAGGGGUGGGCAAGACCGGUGCCAGCAGCCGCGGUAACACCGGCGCCCCAAGUGGCAAUCACAUUUACUGGGCCUAAAGCGUUCGUAGCCGGAUAAUUAAAUUCUCUGUGAAAUCAACUGGCUUAACCAAUUGAAGUGCAGAGGAGACUGAUUAUCUUGAGACAGGGAGAGGCUAGAAGUAUUCUGGGGGGAGCGGUAAAAUGUGAUAAUCCCUAGAGGACUACCAGUGGCGAAAGCGUCUAGCUAGAACUGAUCUGACGGUGAGGAACGAAAGCCAGGGGAGCAAACCGGAUUAGAUACCCGAGUAGUCCUGGCCGUAAACGCUGUAUACAAGUUGUUGCGUAUUCCUGUGAAUAUGCAGUAACGAAGAGAAGUCGUUAAGUAUACCGCCUGGGAAGUACGGUCGCAAGGCUGAAACUUAAAGGAAUUGGCGGGGGAGCAC
rnacentral:rRNA from 1 species